rnacentral:rRNA from 1 species
GACGAACGCUGGCGGCGUGCUUAACACAUGCAAGUCGAACGGAAAGGCCUUUUCGGCGUUACUCGAGUGGCGAACGGGUGAGUAACACGUGGGUGAUCUUCCCUGCACUCCGGGAUAAGCCUGGGAAACUGGGUCUAAUACCGGAUAGGACCGCACUUUAGCGUGUGUGGUGGAAAGUUUUUUCGGGGUAGGAUGAGCCCGCGGCCUAUCAGCUUGUUGGUGGGGUAAUGGCCUACCAAGGCGGCGCCGGGGAGCCGGACUGAGUGGUUGGUCGGCCACAUUGGGACUGAGAUACGGCCCAGACUCCUACGGGAGGAAGCAGUGGGGAAGAUUGCACAAUGGGCGCAAGCCUGAUGCAGCGACGCCGCGUGGGGGAGGACGGCCUUCGGGUUGUAAGCUCCUUUCGCCAGGGACGAAGCGUUUUGUGACGGUACCUGGAGAAGAAGCACCGGCUAACUACGUG